rnacentral:misc_RNA from 1 species
GAUGAAGAACGCAGCGAAAUGCGAUAAGUAAUGCGAAUUGCAGAAUUUCCGUGAGUCAUCGAAUCUUUGAACGCACAUUGCGCCCAUUGGUAUUCCGAUGGGCAUGCCUGUUCGAGCGUCAUUAUCUUCCCUCAAACCUCGCGUUUGGUGUUGGGCCGUGCUGGUUCCUGCGUGACCAACUGGCCUCAAAGACAAUGACGGCGUCCGUGGGACCCUCGAUGCAACGAGCUUCUCAGGAGCACGCGUCGAGUUUCAAGGACCUUCCGGGCCGGUCUCUCCACAAGUUAUUACAAGGUUGACCUCGGAUCAGGUAGGGAUACCCGCUGAACUUAAGCAUAUCAAUAAGCGGAGGA